rnacentral:lncRNA from 1 species
UCACACAGGCUGAAAGAAAUCUUUGAACUUCGACCAGCUGACACAGGGGCUGCAUAUUGUGCAGAGCUCAAACAUAUGAACAAAAACUAACUACAUGUGGGGGCUUCACUUGCAUAACAUGCAGAUUUUCAAACAGAUGUCUUAACAAGAAAAAAUCCCUCUCUGCUUGCUACUGUGUGAAGGCGAAGCACUUGCAAAGUAUCUGCAAGGAAGGCUGUCUGGGCUUUGUAAGCGGGUGAAAAGAAAAUGUGCUGCAAAGUGUACUUCUGAUGAGACUGAUGGUGAAUGUGCUUCAGCGAGCCACAAAAGACCACGUAACACAUUUGCUUUGACCUAAGCUUCAGACAAUAUUCUGAUCCGGUAAGUACUAAAAUAGAAAAGGUAAUCUAAAAUGUAUGUAUAUGCGAUGAAUGUAUUAAACUACACAUACAAGUAGAGUUGAUAAGUAGGAUUGACUUAUGAUGAUCGGCAAUUCUUAAAGGGUGCCUAAUGAUCCCCUCUGGG